GAUGAACCCAACCUGAAUCCAGAGGGCAAGAGAGCCUGUUGAGGAAGGCCAAUGGUUCUGGGCCUUGGGGCUGCAUCAGAAUCACCGGCAGAUCACUCACCCUGGGGAAAGCCAGCUGCCAUGUCCUGAGGCAACCUUGUAGAGAGGUUCAUGUAGCAAAGGACUGGGGCCUGCCAACAACCACAUGAAUGAGCUUGGAAGAAGAUUCUCACUUCAUUCCCAGUCAAGCAUUCAGAUGAGACCACAGCCUCAGCCAGCAGCUUGACUGCAACCUCACGAGAGACUUUGAGCCAGAGUCACCUGGGAAAGUUGCAUCUGAAACUCAUCCACAGAAACUAUGCUGAAUCAGAAGAAUAUAAAGAGAUCUGCCUGAAAGUAGAGGAUUUAAAUACCAAGCCAGUCUACAUAAUAAAGAGCUGAAGGUUAAGGAAAAGAGAGAGGAGAAAAAUAUACACACAUUGGGUCUUGAGAAAGUUUUGUGAUUUAGCAUAUCAGAGAUCCCAAAAUAGCUUGAAAAGCAUAGUAUGUGGUGUGAAUUGGGGCAUCUUUAAGAGUUUUCAAGAAAUGGUUACGAGGAUUGCAAGUGCUUCUUAAUUAACGUUUUGUGGAUGGACUACAUUUCUUUGAAUCUAACUUUAUUCAGAGACUGGACUAUGUGGAAAAUAGAAUUUAUUAGGGUUAUGUACGUUUAUAGGUAAAUAUUGGUACACAAAACCUUAUAA